AUGCCCCACAUUCACACGCAACAUGCCCCUACCACUCACAGCAACAUCACUCCACCACUCACAGGUCAACAUGCCCUUACCACUCACAGGCAACAUACUCCCACCACUCACAGGCAACAUAACUCCCACCACUCACAGGCAACAUGCCCCUACCAUUCACACGCAACAUGCCCCUACCACUCACAGGCAACAUACUCCCACCACUCACAGGCAACAUGCCCCUACCACUCACAGGCAACAUGCUCCCACCACUCACAGGGCAACAUGCUCCCACCACUCACAGGCACACAUGCUCCCACCACUCACAGGCAACAUGGCCCCUACCACUCACAGGCAACAUGCUCCCACCCUCACAGGCAACAUGCUCCACCAUCACAGGCAAACAUGCUUC
rnacentral:lncRNA from 1 species